CCUACGGGAGGCAGCAGUGAGGAAUCUUGCGCAAUGGAGGAAACUCUGACGCAGCCACGCCGCGUGCCGGAAGACGGCCCUAUGGGUUGUAAACGGCUUUUGUUCGGGAAGAAAGUACGGGUUUUGAUCUGUAUUGACGGUACCGAUUGAAUAAGCACCGGCUAACUCCGUGCCAGCAGCCGCGGUAAUACGGAGGGUGCAAGCGUUGUCCGGAAUCAUUGGGUGUAAAGGGUGCGUAGGCUGGUGUCUAAGUCUGGGGUGAAAUUUUGCCGCUUAACGGUAACAUGGCCUUGGAUACUGGAUGCCUUGAAUCUGACAGAGGUCGGUGGAAUUCGUAGUGUAGCGGUGAAAUGCAUAGAUAUUACGAAGAACACCAGUGGCGAAGGCGGCCGGCUGGGUCAGUAUUGACGCUGAGGCACGAGAGCGUGGGGAGCGAACAGGAUUAGAUACCCUGGUAGUCCACGCUGUAAACGAUGUAUGCUAGUUGUUGGGCCUUUGGGUUCAGUGACGCAGUUAACGCAGUAAGCAUACCACCUGGGGAGUACGUUCGCAAGAAUGAAACUCAAAUGAAUGACGG
rnacentral:rRNA from 1 species